CUCGUGUCGUGAGAUGUCGGUUAAGUCCGCUAACGACGCGCAACCCUCGCUGUGUGUUAUAUGUGUCACACGGGACUGCCGGUCUUAAGCCGGAGGAAGGUGGGGAUGAUGUCAAGUCAGCAUGGCCUUUAUAUCCUGGGCUACACACACGCUACAAUGGCCAACACAAUAGGUUGCUAAGCCGCGAGGUGGCGCCAAUCCAUAAAGUUGGUCUCAGUUCAGAUUGUAGGCUGCAACCCGCCUGCAUGAAGAUGGAGUUGCUAGUAACCGCAGGUCAGCUAUACUGCGGUGAAUACGUUCCCGGGGCUU
rnacentral:rRNA from 1 species